AGCGCAGCUUGAAGGCCGUCCCACUGACGCUGAUUAUUUGGAUCAGGUGGUACCAGUAGCGCUUCCUUUUAAAUGUGGAGUGAGAUGCGGACAGGAGAACAAUAAUGCGGUGUGCGUUGAAGAGUGAGCUUUGUGGAAUAAGCUGUGCAAACAGGAGAACCUCGGCCUGGUGUCUGUGCGUAUGGUGACCAGUAAAUGGUACACACAGUUUCAAGUCUACUUUGCUCGCAUAAUAGCGAGUAGUGAAUCCACACUGGUUUGCAGCAACAAGCAACGCUGAUGCUGGCGAGAGUGUGCACAGCUAUUAGUCAUCCACACUGGUAUAACUUUAUUGGUUCGUCUAAUUCAUCUUGGCUGGUCUUAAAAACGAGGAUUGCCUUUGUCUGUCCAAGCCACUGUUUUUCCUGGAAUUAACUAUUUCGUUUUAUUUCAAUUAAUGCUGUCGGAGACUGCAUCCAGGAAGAGAGCCUUUUUUACGUUUCUGGCUGGUUAGUCAGAACUCUCCAACAGCAAGACAUAAUAAAGGAAUGUCCUCAGUGUGAGAUGCUGCUUGUGGGUCAAACACAACACGACCACAACUAUGCUGUGCCGGAUCACCCGUUCCUGGAGAUGAAGAGAUACACCACCAAUGGCUGACAAAGCCAUCAGUGGAGUUUUCCUCCUGCAUUAUUGAACUGGAGGGUGAGUUCAGGAAACAUAUCGGCAAUCUUUGGCCACAGAUAAGUCUUACCAAAAAGCCAAACCAAAAGACUACCCUGAAGAGGCUGGGAGCUUUCGAUACGGCCUUCCACAGCCAUCCUGAGCAUGCUCACCUCAUAGAGGAAAUCACAAUAAAUAAAUUUGUAAUGUGCAGAGUCGGUGCAGAAAUAAGAGAAAGAAACAAAUAACUUGCCAUGCAACACCACACCAAAGUCACUGAGCGCAAGCUGUCUGCAUUUACAGCCUGACUUGGCAGAUGAAGGUCGAGACCAAAAUCAGCGAGAUCUGAGCCAACAUCCAUUCCGUUCUUUCCUCUCUAUUGUACUGUACUGUUCCUGCAUGAAAUUAAGUAUUAUGUGAUUAAGUAUGUAUAUGUUUGUAAGUAAAUGUACAUAAUGUGUUUGGUAAUAAAUGUGCAUUGUGUGUGUGUUGGGGAAUGGAGUUAAUCUCUCACUCAUUUGGUUUUCUGUUUACAGUUGCAGUCUGUGUUUAGAAGGUUGUUGUUGUCCAAGUGUCACUGUAAAUACACCAGUUUUUUUUUCUUCUCUCCAACAUCACCUGACUGAGUCUACCUUCACAUUUACAGAAGGAAAAACAACUAUCGCAUUACA